rnacentral:rRNA from 1 species
CAGUCGCCGCGGUAAUACGGAGGGUGCAAGCGUUAAUCGGAAUUACUGGGCGUAAAGCGCACGCAGGCGGUUUGUUAAGUCAGAUGUGAAAUCCCCGAGCUUAACUUGGGAACUGCAUUUGAAACUGGCAAGCUAGAGUGUGUCAGAGGAUGGUGGAAUUCCCGGUGUAGCGGUGAAAUGCGUAGAGAUCGGGAAGAACAUCAGUGGCGAAGGCGGCCAUCUGGGACAACACUGACGCUGAGGCACGAAAGCGUGGGGAGCAAACAGGAUUAGAUACCCGUGUAGUCCCUGUCUCUUAUAC